UACGGGGGGAGCAAGCGUUGUUCGGAAUUACUGGGCGUAAAGCGUGCGCAGGCGGUUUUGUAAGCCAGAUGUGAAAGCCCCGGGCUUAACCUGGGAAUGGCAUUUGGGACUGCAAGGCUUGAGUGCGGCAGAGGAGACUGGAAUUCCCGGUGUAGCAGUGAAAUGCGUAGAUAUCGGGAGGAAUACCGAUGGCGAAGGCAGGUCUCUGGGCUGACACUGACGCUCAUGCACGAAAGCGUGGGGAGCAAACAGG
rnacentral:rRNA from 1 species